CAGUCGCCGCGGGAAUACGCAGGUGGCAAGCGUUGUCCGGAAUUAUUGGGCGUAAAGGGCUCGCAGGCGGUUUCUUAAGUCUGAUGUGAAAGCCCCCGGCUCAACCGGGGAGGGUCAUUGGAAACUGGGAAACUUGAGUGCAGAAGGGGAGAGUGGAAUUCCAUGUGUAGCGGUGAAAUGCGUAGAUAUAUGGAGGAACGCCGGUGGCGAAAGCGGCUCUCUGGUCUGUAACUGACGCUGAGGCUCGAAAGCGUGGGGAGCGAACAGGAUUAGAUACCCCGGUAGUCCCUGUCUCUUAUAC
rnacentral:rRNA from 1 species